UUAAGUAAGGAAGGGCGUACGGCGAAUGCCUGGCCACUCGAAACUGAAGAAGGACGCGCCAAACUGCGAAAAGCUCCGUGAAGCUGUAAGGAAGCGAAGAAGCGGAGGUGUCCGAAUGGGGGAACCCGGCAGCAGACAUGAGCUGUCAUCUGCAGGUGAAUACAUGGCCUGCAAGAGAGGUACCCGGCGAACUGAAACAUCUAAGUAGCCGGAGGAAAAGAAAACAACAGUGAUUCCCUGAGUAGCGGCGAGCGAAAGGGGAGAAGCCCAAACCGGUCCGAGGACCGGGGUUGAAGGACCAUGAUAUGGCAAGAGCGAGGAUAGGAGAACGGGAUCGAAAGCCCGGCCGAAGAAGGUGCAAGCCCUGUAACCGAAAUCCGAGCGAAGCCUAAUGGGAUCCUGAGUACGGCGAGACACGAGGAAUCUUGUCGGAAGCAGGCGGGACCAUCCGCCAAGGCUAAAUAUAAACGAGUGAGCGAUAGUGAACCAGUACCGUGAGGGAAAGGUGAAAAGAACCGCGGGAGCGGAGUGAAAGAGAACCUGAAACCGUAUGCCUACAAGAAGUCAGAGCCCGUUAAGGGGUGAUGGCGUGCCUUUUGUAGAAUGAACCGGCGAGUUGCGACAGACUGCGAGGUUAAGGAGGAAAGACCGGAGCCGAAGCGAAAGCGAGUCUUAAUAGGGCGAAAGUAGGAUGUUGCAGACCCGAAACCGGGUGAUCUAGCCAUGAGCAGGUUGAAGUUGAGGUGAAACUCAAUGGAGGACCGAACCGACUACCGUUGAAAAGUUAGCGGAUGACUUGUGGCUAGGGGAGAAAUUCCAAUCGAACCCGGAGAUAGCUGGUUCUCCCCGAAAUAGCUUUAGGGCUAGCGUCGGAAAGAACCUUAGUGAAGGUAGAGCACUGAAUGUGUGAUGGCCCCAUCCCGGGGUACUGAAUACAAUCAAACUGCGAAUGUCAUUAAGGAUGUCCGGCAGUCAGACUGUGAGUGAUAAGGUCCAUGGUCAAGAGGGAAACAGCCCAGACCGCCAGUUAAGGUCCCAAAAUACAGGCUAAGUGGAAAAGGAUGUGGGGAUGCCCAGACAACUAGGAGGUUGGCUCAGAAGCAGCCAUCCUUUAAAGAGUGCGUAACAGCUCACUAGUCGAGUGACCCUGCGCCGAAAAUGUACCGGGGCUAAGCCUGAUACCGAAACUGCGGAUUGUAGGAAACUAUAGUGGUAGGGGAGCGUUGUAUACGAGUAGAAGCCGUACCGUGAGGAGCGGUGGAUUGUAUAGAAGUGAGAAUGCCGGUGUGAGUAGCGAGAUGUAGGUGAGAAUCCUACACACCGAAAGCCCAAGGAUUCCAGGGGAAGGUUCGUCCGCCCUGGGUAAGUCGGGACCUAACGCGAGGCCGAAAGGCGUAGUGGAUGGAAAGCAGGCGAAAGAUUCCUGCACCCGUAUAUGGAGCGAAGGAGUGACGGAGACGGAUAGUGUGACCCUCUUAAUGGAUUGAGGGCGAAGCGAAGCGGCUGGUUACCAGGCAAAUCCGGUAACUGAAAGGCUAGAGCGUGACAGGUAAGCGAAAUCUUAGGAAAGUAGCGAAGCACAUGAUGACGGCUUCCAGGAAAAGCUUCUGGCAAUGCAUAUGCGGCCCGUACCAAAACCGACACAGGUGGGCAGGGAGAGAAUCCCGAGGUGAGCGAGAGAACUGUUGCCAAGGAACUCGGCAAAAUGACUCCGUAAGUUAGCGAGAAGGAGUGCUUAAGCAAUUAAGCCGCAGUGAAGAGGCCCAAGCGACUGUUUAACUAAAACACAGCUCUCUGCGAAGUCGCAAGACGAAGUAUAGGGGGUGACACCUGCCCGGUGCUGGAAGGUUAAGAGGAUCUGUUAAGAGCGAUCUGAAGCAGUGAUCCGAAGCCCCAGUGAACGGCGGCCGUAACUAUAACGGUCCUAAGGUAGCGAAAUUCCUUGUCAGGUAAGUUCUGACCCGCACGAAAGGUGUAAUGAUCUGGAUACUGUCUCAACCAUAGACUCGGUGAAAUUUUAAUACCUGUGAAAAUGCAGGUUACCCGCGACAGGACGGAAAGACCCCAUGGAGCUUUACUGUAGCUUGAUAUUGAAAUUUGAUAUUCUUUGUAGAGGAUAGGUGGUAGACUUUGAUACUAGGACGCCAGUUCUAGUGGAGUCGCCCUUGGAAUACCACCUUCCUUGACAAAUCUGUAUUUGAAAGCGGAUUGUAUGAUUACAUUUACAAUGAUUUCUACUAUCUCGAACUUUGGUACAACGGCGUAAAAGUGGGCACAUAUACCUCAGGAAGUAUUACACUUACUGAAUCAGGCGUUUACACAAUCAGCGUAAAAGAUGCUGUCGGACAAACUCAAUAUUUUGGCUCAGGUUACUCGGAAUUUACCCUUACUAUUAUCAAUGAUGUGGUGUACUAUGUAAAUAAUCUCGCACCUAUUCAAUUUGCGACAUUUUCCAAAGAUGUAGAUUUGUAUAUUCCUCUUACAUUCUCUGGCGACCUAAGACAAUACGACUCAAUGGCUAUUACAAUUACUCGAAACAAUGUUGAAUAUCAAGUUAAGCCAACAAACGGACAUUACAUAUUCACUGAACCUGGCGU
rnacentral:rRNA from 1 species